AGCGUACACGGUGGAUGCCCUGGCAGUCAGAGGCGAUGAAGGACGUGCUAAUCUGCGAAAAGCGCCGGCGAGGUGAUAUGAACCUUUGACCCGGCGAUGUCCGAAUGGGGAAACCCAGUGUGUUCCGACACACUAUCGUUAACUGAAUACAUAGGUUAACGAGGCGAACCGGGGGAACUGAAACAUCUAAGUACCCCGAGGAAAAGAAAUCAACCGAGAUUCCCCCAGUAGCGGCGAGCGAACGGGGAGCAGCCCAGAGUCUGAAUCAGCUUGUGUGUUAGUGGAAGCGUCUGGAAAGUCGCACGGUACAGGGUGACAGUCCCGUACACGAAAGCACACAGGCUGUGAACUCGAAGAGUAGGGCGGGACACGUGGUAUCCUGUCUGAAUAUGGGGGGACCAUCCUCCAAGGCUAAAUACUCCUGACUGACCGAUAGUGAACCAGUACCGUGAGGGAAAGGCGAAAAGAACCCCGGCGAGGGGAGUGAAAAAGAACCUGAAACCGUGUACGUACAAGCAGUGGGAGCACCUUCGUGGUGUGACUGCGUACCUUUUGUAUAAUGGGUCAGCGACUUAUAUUCUGUAGCAAGGUUAACCGUAUAGGGGAGCCGAAGGGAAACCGAGUCUUAACUGGGCGUUAAGUUGCAGGGUAUAGACCCGAAACCCGGUGAUCUAGCCAUGGGCAGGUUGAAGGUUGGGUAACACUAACUGGAGGACCGAACCGACUAAUGUUGAAAAAUUAGCGGAUGACUUGUGGCUGGGGGUGAAAGGCCAAUCAAACCGGGAGAUAGCUGGUUCUCCCCGAAAGCUAUUUAGGUAGCGCCUCGUGAACUCAUCUUCGGGGGUAGAGCACUGUUUCGGCUAGGGGGCCAUCCCGGCUUACCAACCCGAUGCAAACUACGAAUACCGAAGAAUGUUAUCACGGGAGACACACGGCGGGUGCUAACGUCCGUCGUGAAGAGGGAAACAACCCAGACCGCCAGCUAAGGUCCCAAAGUCAUGGUUAAGUGGGAAACGAUGUGGGAAGGCACAGACAGCCAGGAUGUUGGCUUAGAAGCAGCCAUCAUUUAAAGAAAGCGUAAUAGCUCACUGGUCGAGUCGGCCUGCGCGGAAGAUGUAACGGGGCUAAACCAUGCACCGAAGCUGCGGCAGCGACACUAUGUGUUGUUGGGUAGGGGAGCGUUCUGUAAGCCGUUGAAGGUGUGCUGUGAGGCAUGCUGGAGGUAUCAGAAGUGCGAAUGCUGACAUAAGUAACGAUAAAGCGGGUGAAAAGCCCGCUCGCCGGAAGACCAAGGGUUCCUGUCCAACGUUAAUCGGGGCAGGGUGAGUCGACCCCUAAGGCGAGGCCGAAAGGCGUAGUCGAUGGGAAACAGGUUAAUAUUCCUGUACUUGGUGUUACUGCGAAGGGGGGACGGAGAAGGCUAUGUUAGCCGGGCGACGGUUGUCCCGGUUUAAGCAUGUAGGCGGAACGAUUAGGUAAAUCCGGUCGUUUUUUAACGCUGAGGUGUGAUGACGAGGCACUACGGUGCUGAAGUAACAAAUGCCCUGCUUCCAGGAAAAGCCUCUAAGCAUCAGGUAACAUCAAAUCGUACCCCAAACCGACACAGGUGGUCAGGUAGAGAAUACCAAGGCGCUUGAGAGAACUCGGGUGAAGGAACUAGGCAAAAUGGUGCCGUAACUUCGGGAGAAGGCACGCUGAUAUGUAGGUGAAGCCCCUGCGGGUGGAGCUGAAAUCAGUCGAAGAUACCAGCUGGCUGCAACUGUUUAUUAAAAACACAGCACUGUGCAAACACGAAAGUGGACGUAUACGGUGUGACGCCUGCCCGGUGCCGGAAGGUUAAUUGAUGGGGUUAGCGGUAACGCGAAGCUCUUGAUCGAAGCCCCGGUAAACGGCGGCCGUAACUAUAACGGUCCUAAGGUAGCGAAAUUCCUUGUCGGGUAAGUUCCGACCUGCACGAAUGGCGUAAUGAUGGCCAGGCUGUCUCCACCCGAGACUCAGUGAAAUUGAACUCGCUGUGAAGAUGCAGUGUACCCGCGGCAAGACGGAAAGACCCCGUGAACCUUUACUAUAGCUUGACACUGAACACUGGUCCUUGAUGUGUAGGAUAGGUGGGAGGCUUUGAAGUGUGGACGCCAGUCUGCAUGGAGCCGUCCUUGAAAUACCACCCUUUAAUGGCUGGUGUUCUAACGUAGACCCGUAAUCCGGGUUGCGGACAGUGUCUGGUGGGUAGUUUGACUGGGGCGGUCUCCUCCCAAAGAGUAACGGAGGAGCACGAAGGUUAGCUAAUCCUGGUCGGACAUCAGGAGGUUAGUGCAAUGGCAUAAGCUAGCUUGACUGCGAGAGUGACGGCUCGAGCAGGUGCGAAAGCAGGUCAUAGUGAUCCGGUGGUUCUGAAUGGAAGGGCCAUCGCUCAACGGAUAAAAGGUACUCCGGGGAUAACAGGCUGAUACCGCCCAAGAGUUCAUAUCGACGGCGGUGUUUGGCACCUCGAUGUCGGCUCAUCACAUCCUGGGGCUGAAGUAGGUCCCAAGGGUAUGGCUGUUCGCCAUUUAAAGUGGUACGCGAGCUGGGUUUAGAACGUCGUGAGACAGUUCGGUCCCUAUCUGCCGUGGGCGCUGGAGAAUUGAGGGGGGCUGCUCCUAGUACGAGAGGACCGGAGUGGACGCAUCACUGGUGUUCGGGUUGUCAUGCCAAUGGCACUGCCCGGUAGCUAAAUGCGGAAAAGAUAAGUGCUGAAAGCAUCUAAGCACGAAACUUGCCCCGAGAUGAGUUCU
rnacentral:rRNA from 1 species